rnacentral:rRNA from 1 species
UACGUAGGGUCCGAGCGUUGUCCGGAAUUACUGGGCGUAAAGAGCUCGUAGGUGGUUUGUCGCGUUGUUCGUGAAAACUCACAGCUCAACUGUGGGCGUGCGGGCGAUACGGGCAGACUGGAGUACUGCAGGGGAGACUGGAAUUCCUGGUGUAGCGGUGGAAUGCGCAGAUAUCAGGAGGAACACCGGUGGCGAAGGCGGGUCUCUGGGCAGUAGCUGACGCUGAGGAGCGAAAGCGUGGGGAGCGAACAGG